GGCGCCUCCUCCCGCUGCUGCUCCGGGCUCGCGCGCGGAUGCUCCAAUGCGUCCACGCGCCCCGCGCCGCGCGCCCUGACUGGCUGGGUCUCUCCCAGAGUGGCCCGCGCCCCUCCCGCUCCGCGCUGUCACCGUCGCCAGGCGCCUCACUGCUUUGCGCUGCAAAGGCUCAUUUAGCAUGUCCCUGCCUGUAAAAGACUGUAUGCCUCAAGCAGGGCUUUGGAUUUCUUUCUUUUCUUAGAAGCCUAUCUACACUUGGAACUCUGCGUGAGCUUUGGGCUGCACCUGAACCAGGAGGCACACGCUAUUCACAUGUGUGUGCGUCCAGCCCAAGCCUGCGUUCAUCUGGAUGGAUCCUCUCCGCAUGGCUUUUGCCCCCAGUGGCUGCGAGAGGCUGUAAUUGGCAAGGAGCACAGAGCCAGUAGCUGGAAGCCAAGAUACCACUGGAGCUCUCUGAUCCCGUUCUUACAGCUUUCCUGGGUCAGCAACACUUUGGAUGGAUCAACCCAUUCUCUACCUUGAUAAAAUCUUGAACACUGAAUGAAUUAAAAGUAUUGUUUCCUUAGUAAAGCUUUCAAAGCCUCCCUUAUAGCACCUCUAUCUAGCUAUCAUGCUGCCUUUUUGAUCUUGUUGUCUAACUGCCUUUGUGUAAAUGUCUUCAUCUUUUUGUCUUCUAGUUUGCAGUGGGUGAACAAACAGAUGCACUGCAGAUGUGUCCUCUGUGCUAUGCCUAAGCUCUUGUCUUGCUUGUGCUACAAAUAACUUUCUUUACAUCACAACCUUCCUAUAUUGUUCCUUACAAUGCAUUUGCUUAUGUGAGGUCCUGAGAUUCAGUUAAGUGAUCACAAUUGUUAUUAUAUUAUAUUGUAUACUACCACAUAGCACUACAAAUUGGCAGCAAGUCGGGGUCUCUAGUCACUUAGUCAUGUGGGUUCACUGGUCCACAAGCUUUGCCCUUUAUGACUGUGUUUUCUAUUUGCAUUGACUAUAUUGUUGUAAUCUUUUGAAUAAUGUUGUCAGUCAAAGUGGAGGGCAGAUGUGCUCAAGGAAAAAUACAGUUAAGGAAAUAAAAUAAAUAUUACAUUAUCAGUUUACAUCAAUAAGUGUGAAUUAAGUCAACUUUUAUUUAAAAUGAGCAAACAUUGAGGUUUUUAAUUUUUGUUUAGGUUUAUAAAAUCAGCUGUCCUACUAAUGGAAGCUGAUUUCUGGAAGCAGAAUAGACAAAUCUUAAUCAGGCUUUGAGAGCCUGUCAGUUUAAUUAGCAGCUGUUUCAGCAAUAGCAGCGAAGAGCGUCACCUCUGCUGUGAAUGUCCAGAUACCAGUUACAACUGCAACUGUAAGAGGAGUAAUGUCCCAGCCCUCAGGCCAGUGCUCUGCUGGCAGCGUCCUAAUUUCCACAUACAUAGAAUGCCAAAGUUCCUCUUCCCCUGGGUGCAAUGCAUGCUCUGUGACACCAUGGUCUAGUAAAAUAUUAUUCCUCCUUAAAAACAGAAGGAGGAGGAGGAGGAGGAGGAGGAGGAAGAGGAGGAGGAAGAGGAGGAGGAAGAGGAGGAGGAGGAGGAAGAGGAGGAGGAAGAGGAGGAGGAAAAGGGAACUGAAGAAGCAAGACAAAAGAACAGAUUCCCCUAAGAUGUUGGGAAGAAAUGUUGAGAGUACUAAUUUUCAGUUUGCUUUUACUUUUAAUUCAGUAGCAUCCUUUGCUGUUUCUUUAUUCUUGGGACAGCUUUCAAACUUGAUGUAUUGAUGCUGUACUUUUUGUGGAGACAAGCAUUCAUUCUAUAUCCCUGGGUGGUCUUGCAAUUGCUGUAUAGCCCAGGCUGGCUCAUAUCCUCACAACCCUCCCACUUCAGCCCCUCAAAUGCUGGGAUUGCAGGUGUGCUCCACUACAUUUUGUUUCCCAAGUUUAUGUUCAAAGCUGGCUAUGUUCUCCUUCUUAUAUAAUUCUCUCAUCAAUAUCUUCCCAUAUAAAACUGUCUCAAUAUAGAGAGAAAUCUUUUGGGAUCCCAUAUGCCAACAAGCUUUCCCGGGUUAGGGUAAAAGUCUUCAAAUAUUUCCUGUAUCAGUUAAGUGCUAUGCCUGUUGCCUAAGGGCUGCCACGGGUGUGCGGGUACAUGGCCAUUUCCCCUUACUCAUGGAAUCUUCAGCAAGCCCACCCUCAUUUCAUCUCUUGACAUUUUGGUUCACAGGAAAAUAAUCUUCCAUUCAAAGAUUCACUGCCACACCUGUCUUUUUCAGUUGCCCUGUCUACUGUUUCAUCUGCAUUCAGGCUUUUGUUCUUUCUGGUCCACGAGAGAGAAAUUAUCUUUCUAAUGUUUAUGGCUUUUUGUAUGGAAUUAAAGGGUAUUUCCCAGGAAACUCACUCUAAAAAGCUUUCCUCCCUCCCUCCCACUCACCCCUCCCUCCCUCCUUCCCUCCUUCCCUCCUUCUUUCUAGUAAGCAUGUAGCAGCAAUCAUGACCACUAGAUGGCAGCCGUGUUCUAAUUAGGAAUGUCAUUUAUGUCUUAACCCUGGGGACAUUCUGAUUUAUUUUGAUUUUUCUCUUUUAAGCAACAGAGUAGAAGCCCAAAUUAGAAGCAUUAACAAAGCACACUGAAGACACGCAAAAUGCCAGAUUACGCUACUCAGUGGAGACCUUUCACUUCCUGAGGAAUCCCACAUUCGUUUCCUGAGACCCACCAAUACUCUAGGCAUUAAUGUAGACAAACACUUCUGAGUUGGUCUACCAGUGAUCUAACAGAAGACAAACCCAAGCAUACUAGCUGUAUUUGAGUGUUUUGCCGAACAACCAGUCCUCCUCCUGGUAGAAUAAAACAGUGAGACCACAGGGAGAGGAGCUGUGUCCGAGGCAGGAGGCUGACCUUAUCUGCCAAGUUGCUCACAAGUGCAAGGCAA